ACGCUCGACACCUACGGAGGCAGCAGUGGGGAAUAUUGCACAAUGGGGGAAACCCUGAUGCAGCGACGCCGCGUGGAGGAAGAAGGUCUUCGGAUUGUAAACUCCUGUUGUUGGGGAAAAAGAGGAUGGUACCCAACAAGGAAGUGACGGCUAACUACGUCCCAGCAGCCGCGGUAAUCUGAGCGGGCUGGCAAGGC
rnacentral:rRNA from 1 species